CCCCGGGUAGCGUAGCGGUAUCGCGGCCGGCUGUAGCUCGAAGCGCACGGCGAGAGGGGUAAAUCCCUGCUGUGAAGCCGUGUCAGCCGGCUGGAAACCGGCAACGCGUCUAAGACGCGCCGGAGGGUCCCGGGUUCAAGUCCCGGCCCGGGGA
rnacentral:tRNA from 1 species